rnacentral:rRNA from 1 species
GCUCAGGACGAACGCUGGCGGCGUGCCUAAUACAUGCAAGUUGAACGAUGAGGCUCCUUCGGGAGUACAUCAGUAGCGGACGGGUGAGUAACGCGUAGGAAAUCUGCCCUAAGGAAGGGGAUAACAUUGGGAAACCAGUGCUAAUACCCUAUAUGUGCUAAGCUGAAAUGCUUAUCAUGAAAACUCCGGUGCCUUAGGAUGAGCCUGCGUCUGAUUAGCUAGUUGGUGGGGUAAAUGCCCACCAAGGCGACGAUCAGUAGCUGGUUUGAGAGGAUGAUCAGCCACAAUGGGACUGAGACACGGCCCAUACUCCUACGGGAGGCAGCAGUAGGGAAUUUUGCGCAAUGGACGAAAGUCUGACGCAGCAACGCCGCGUGAGCGAUGAAGCCCUUAGGGGUGUAAAGCUCUGUCAGUAGGGACGAAUUUUGACGGUACCUACAGAGGAAGCAUCGGCUAACUACGUGCCAGCAGCCGCGGUAAGACGUAGGAUGCAAGCGUUGUCCGGAUUUAUUGGGCGUAAAGAGUUCGUAGGUGGUAUGUUAAGUCUGAUGUUAAAGCCCGAGGCUCAACCUCGGAUCGGCAUUGGAUACUGGCAUGCUAGAGUGCGGUAGAGGCAAGGGGAACUCCCAGUGUAGCGGUGAAAUGCGUAGAUAUUGGGAGGAACACCAGUGGCGUAAGCGCCUUGCUGGGCCGUAACUGACGCUGAGGAACGAAAGCCAGGGUAGCGAAUGGGAUUAGAUACCCCAGUAGUCCUGGCCGUAAACGAUGGAUACUAGGUGUUGCGGGUAUCGACCCCUGCAGUGCCGAAGCUAACGCGAUAAGUAUCCCGCCUGGGGAGUACAUACGCAAGUAUAAAACUCAAAGGAAUUGACGGGGGCCCGCACAAGCGGUGGAACAUGUGGUUUAAUUCGAAGCAACGCGAAGAACCUUACCAGGGCUUGACAUCCCGAGAAUCCUGUGGAAACACGGGAGUGCUCUUCGGAGAACUCGGUGACAGGUGGUGCAUGGUUGUCGUCAGCUCGUGUCGUGAGAUGUUGGGUUAAGUCCCGCAACGAGCGCAACCCUUGUUGUUAGUUGCUGGCAAGAGUAUACUCUUGUCGAGCUCUCUAGCAAGACUGCCGGUGACAAACCGGAGGAAGGUGAGGAUGACGUCAAAUCAUCAUGCCCCUUAUGCUCUGGGCUACACACGUGUUACAAUGGAUGAGACAACGAGCAGCCAACUAGCAAUAGUGAGCGAAUCUCAUAAACUUAUCCUCAGUUCGGAUCGGAGUCUGCAACUCGACUCCGUGAAGCUGGAAUCGCUAGUAAACGCAGAUCAGCACGCUGCGUUGAUACGUUCCCGGGCCUUGUACACACCGCCCGUCACACCAUGGAAGUCGACCACACCCGAAGUCGGUGAGUUAACC